GGGCCCGCACAAGCGGUGGAGCAUGUGGUUUAAUUCGAUGAUACGCGAGGAACCUUACCAGGGCUUAAAUGCAGAAUGACAGAUUGGGAAACCAGUCCUUCUUCGGACAUUUUGCAAGGUGCUGCAUGGUUGUCGUCAGCUCGUGCCGUGAGGUGUCAGUUAAGUCCUAUAACGAGCGCAACCCCUAUCAUUAGUUGCCAGCGGGUAAUGCCGGGAACUCUAAUGAGACUGCCAGCGCAAGCUGCGAGGAAGGUGGGGAUGACGUCAAAUCAUCACGGCCCUUACGUCCUGGGCUACACACGUGCUACAAUGGUUGGGACAAUGGGCAGCCACUACGCAAGUAG
rnacentral:rRNA from 1 species